rnacentral:pre_miRNA from 1 species
AGUGAGAUAGCUGGGUCAAAUGGUGGUUCCAUUCCAAGUUUUCAGAGGAAUCUUCAUACUACUUUACAUAGUGGAUGUACCAAUUUGCAGUGCCAUCCGCAAU